GUGCGAAUGCUGACAUGAGUAACGUAAGGGGAGUGAGAGACUCCCCCGCCGAAAGUCCAAGGGUUCCUGCUUAAAGCUAAUCUGAGCAGGGUUAGCCGGCCCCUAAGUCGAGGCAGAAAUGCGUAGACGAUGGGAACCACGUUAAUAUUCGUGGGCCUGGAGGAAGUGACGGAUCAUUGAGGUAGUCCAAUCUUAUCGGAUUGAACGGGCUGCUGCGUGGUUCCAGGAAAUAGCUCCUCCUUAUAGACCGUACCCGAAACCGACACUGGUG
rnacentral:rRNA from 1 species